rnacentral:rRNA from 1 species
UACAUAGCUUAAUGAGGGGAACUCAGGGAACUGAAACAUCUAAGUACCUGAAGGAAGAGAAAGAAAUUCGAUUCCGUAAGUAGCGGCGAGCGAACGCGGAUUAGCCCAAACCAAUAAAGUUUUCUUUAUUGGGGUUGCGGACAUAUCAUAACGAAGAGGUAUCGUAAUUGAAGAGGUUUGGAAAGACCCACCACAGAAGGUAAUAGUCCUGUAUGUUAAACGAGAAGACUUUAGAUAUGAUCCAGAGUACCACGGGACACGUGAAACCCUGUGGGAAGCAGGAGGGACCACCCUCCAAGGCUAAAUACUACCUAGUGACCGAUAGCGUAUAGUACCGUGAGGGCAAGGUGAAAAGAACCCCGGGAGGGGAGUGAAAUAGAACCUGAAACCCUGCACUUACAAGCUGUGGAAGCACAUUUCUUGUGUGACCGCGUACUUUUUGUAGAACGGGCCAACGAGUUACGUUAAGUAGCAAGGUUAAGCACUUAAGGUGCGGAGCCGUAGCGAAAGCGAGUUUUAACUGAGCGUUCAGUUACUUGACGUAGACCCGAAACCGGGCGACCUACCCAUGAGCAGGAUGAAGCGAAAGUAAAAUUUCGUGGAGGUCCGAACCCACGAGCGUUGAAAAGCUCGGGGAUGACUUGUGGGUAGCGGUGAAAUUCCAAUCGAGCCCGGAGAUAGCUGGUUCUCCCCGAAAUAGCUUUAGGGCUAGCCUCAAGGUGAGAGAUACGGAGGUAGAGCACUGAAUGUCCUAGGGGGUAUUGCACCUACCGAAGACUAUCAAACUCCGAAUGCCGUCAUCUUAUACUUGGGAGUCAGACUGUGGGUGAUAAGAUUCAUAGUCGAAAGGGCAACAGCCCAGAUCGUCAGCUAAGGUCCCUAAAUGUAAGUUAAGUGGUAAAGGAUGUGGGAUUGCACAGACAACCAGGAUGUUGGCUUAGAAGCAGCCACUCAUUCAAAGAGUGCGUAAUAGCUCACUGGUCGAGUGAUCCUGCGCCGAAGAUUUCCGGGGCUAAAACUUACUACCGAAGCUACGGCAUCAGUAAUGA